rnacentral:rRNA from 2 species
AUUGAACGCUGGCGGCAGGCUUAACACAUGCAAGUCGAGCGGGGAAGGGUAGCUUGCUACCUGACCUAGCGGCGGACGGGUGAGUAAUGCUUAGGAAUCUGCCUAUUAGUGGGGGACAACAUUCCGAAAGGAAUGCUAAUACCGCAUACGCCCUACGGGGGAAAGCAGGGGAUCUUCGGACCUUGCGCUAAUAGAUGAGCCUAAGUCAGAUUAGCUAGUUGGUGGGGUAAAGGCCUACCAAGGCGACGAUCUGUAGCGGGUCUGAGAGGAUGAUCCGCCACACUGGGACUGAGACACGGCCCAGACUCCUACGGGAGGCAGCAGUGGGGAAUAUUGGACAAUGGGCGCAAGCCUGAUCUAGCCAUGCCGCGUGUGUGAAGAAGGCCUUUUGGUUGCAAAGCACUUUAAGCGAGGAGGAGGCUACUUGGAUUAAUACUCUAGGAUAGUGGACGUUACUCGCAGAGUAUGUGCCGGCUAACUCUGUGCCAGCAGCCGCGGUAAUACAGAGGGUGCGAGCGUUAAUCGGAUUUACUGGGCGUAAAGCGUGCGUAGGCGGCUUUUUAAGUCGGAUGUGAAAUCCCUGAGCUUAACUUAGGAAUUGCAUUCGAUACUGGGAAGCUAGAGUAUGGGAGAGGGAUGGUAGAAUUCCAGGUGUAGCGGUGGAAUGCGUAAGAUCUGGAGGAGUACAGAUGGCGAGGCAGCCAUCUGGCCUAAUACUGACGCUGAGGUACGAAAACCUGGGGGAGCAAACAGGAUUAAUUAUCCUGGUGUGCCAUGGGCGAAUUCCACAGUGAGAUCAGGGUUAUCGAGACCCUCCACCUCGGGGGGGGCCCGGGGCCCCCCUUGUGGUCCCUUUCUCCGCCUUUUUUUAGAAUAGC